rnacentral:tRNA from 1 species
GGGGGUAUAGUUCAGUGGCAGAGCACAUGCUUAGAGCAUGUACAAGGUCCUGGGUUCAAUCCCCAGUACCUCUA